rnacentral:rRNA from 1 species
UGGGGAAUCUUGCACAAUGGGCGAAAGCCUGAUGCAGCAACGCCGCGUGCGGGACGAAGGCCCUAGGGUUGUAAACCGCUUUCAGCAGGGAAGAAGAUGACGGUACCUGUAGAAGAAGGUGCGGCCAACUACGUGCCAGCAGCCGCGGUGACACGUAGGCACCAAGCGUUGUCCGGAUUUAUUGGGCGUAAAGAGCUCGUAGGCGGUUCGGUAAGUCGGGUGUGAAAACUCUGGGCUCAACCCAGAGCCGCCACCCGAUACUGCUGUGACUCGAGUGCGGUAGGGGAGCGGGAAUUCCUGGUGUAGCGGUGAAAUGCGCAGAUAUCAGGAGGAACACCAGUGGCGAAGGCGCCGCUCUGGGCCGUGACUGACGCUGAGGAGCGAAAGCGUGGGUAGCAAACAGGAUUAGAUACC